UGGGCUGGAGCUCAGUGGUAGAGUGCUUACCUCGCAUGCAUGAGGCACUGGGUUCAAUUCUCAGCACCACAU
rnacentral:tRNA from 1 species